rnacentral:rRNA from 1 species
UACGGAGGGUGCGAGCGUUGUCCGGAAUCACUGGGCGUAAAGGGCGCGUAGGCGGUUCUUCAAGCGUGUGGUGAAAGUCCGGGGCUCAACCCCGGAUCGGCCGUGCGGACUGGGGGACUCGAGCACUGUAGAGGCGGGUGGAAUUCCGGGUGUAGCGGUGGAAUGCGUAGAGAUCCGGAAGAACACCAGUGGCGAAGGCGGCCCGCUGGGCAGUGGCUGACGCUGAGGCGCGAAAGCCAGGGGAGCAAACGGG